rnacentral:rRNA from 1 species
GACGAACGCUGGCGGCGUGCCUAAUACAUGCAAGUUGAACGCAACAAAGACACCAGAGCUUGCUCUACCGUCUUUGUUGAGUAGCGAACGGGUGAGUAACGCGUGGGUAACCUGCCUUAUAGCGGGGGAUAACUAUUGGAAACGAUAGCUAAUACCGCAUAACAAUAGAGAUUGCAUAAAUCUUUAUUUGAAAGUGCCAACUGGUACACUAUGAGAUGGACCCGCGUUGUAUUAGCUAAGUUGGUAGUGUAAUGGACUACCAAGGCGAUGAUACAUAGCCGACCUGAGAGGGUGAUCGGCCACAUUGGGACUGAGACACGGCCCAAAUCCUACGGGAGGCAGCAGUAGGGAAUCUUCGGC